GUCGCAAGACCAAAGUGGGGGACCUUCGGGCCUCAUGCCAUCAGAUGUGCCCAGAUGGGAUUAGCUUGUAGGUGGGGUAACGGCUCACCUAGGCGACGAUCCCUAGCUGGUCUGAGAGGAUGACCAGCCACACUGGAACUGAGACACGGUCCAGACUCCUACGGGAGGCAGCAGUGGGGAAUAUUGCACAAUGGGCGCAAGCCUGAUGCAGCCAUGCCGCGUGUGUGAAGAAGGCCUUCGGGUUGUAAAGCACUUUCAGCGGGGAGGAAGGCG
rnacentral:rRNA from 1 species